rnacentral:lncRNA from 1 species
CAACUCAGCUUUGCAGACCACUGAAAAUACACGGUGUCCAACGAAGUCUCGCAGUUAAAUAACGCGUACAAAAAGAUCUGUGAUGCUUGGAAGAAAAUUGAUCAGACCAUCGAGAGUUUUAGGGGAAUAGAGAGAUAGGUGAUCAAGAGAAAGAUAGAAUGGGAAACUAGAAGAACAUCGGUGAUGGUGGAAGAAA